CAGCAGUAGGGAAUCUUCCACAAUGGACGAAAGUCUGAUGGAGCAAUACCAUGUGAACGAUGAGGCCUUUUUGGUUGUAAAGUUCUUUUACGAGGGAUAAUUAUGAUAGUACUUCGUGAAUAAGUGACAGCAAACUAUGUGCCAGCAGCUGCGGUAAUACGUAGGUCGCGAGCAUUAUUCGGAUUUAUUGGGCGUAAAGCAAGCGCAGGCGGAUGUGUAAGUUCUGUGUUAAAUGCAGCUACUCAAUAGUUGUAUGCACCGAAUACUACAUGUCUAGAUUGUGGUAGGGAGUUUCGGAAUUAAGCAUGGAGCGGUGGAAUGUGUAGAUAUGCUUAAGAACACCAGAGGCGAAGGCGGAAACUUAGGCCAUAAAUGACGCUUAGGCUUGAAAGUGUGGGGAGCAAAUGGGAUUAGAUACCCCAGUAGUCCACACCGUAAACGAUGGGUAUUAGAUAUUAGGGCUUUAGCUUUAGUGUUGUAGCUUACGCGUUAAAUACCCCGCCUGGGUAGUACAUAUGCAAAUAUGAAACUCAAAGGAAUUGACGGGGACCUGAACAAGUGGUGGAGCAUGUUGCUUAAUUCGAUAAUACACGAAAAACCUUACCAAGGUUUGACAUCCCUCGCAAAGCUAUAGAAAUAUAGUAGAGGUUAUCGAGGUGACAGGUGGUGCAUGGCUGUCGUCAGCUCGUGUCUUGAGAUGUUUGGUUAAGUCCCGCAACGAGCGCAACCCCACUCUUUAGUUACUUGUCUAAAGAGACUGCACAGUAAUGUAGAGGAAGGAUGGGAUCACGUCAAGUCAUCAUGCCCCUUAUGCCUUGGGCUGCAAACGUGCUACAAUGGCGAACACAAUGUGUUGCAGACCAGCGACGGUAAGCUAAUCACCAAAUUUCGUCUCAGUUCGGAUAGGAGGCUGCAAUUCGCCUCCUUGA
rnacentral:rRNA from 1 species